rnacentral:rRNA from 1 species
UUCGCCCUUGGUUGAUCCUGCCGGACCCCACUGCUAUCGGGAUAGGACUAAGACAUGCAAGUCAAGCGCUUUCUAGCUAAUGUGAGAGCGCGGCGUACAGCUCAGUAACACGUGGCCAACCUGCCCUUGGGACGGGAACACCCCCGGGAAACUGGGGUUAAUUCCCGAUAGGUGAAGAAGUCUGGAAUGACUCUUCGCUCAAAAGACGUUUAUGUCAUGCUCAUAUUCGUCGCCCAGGGAUGGGGCCGCGACCGAUCAGGUUGUUGGUGAGGCAAUGGCUCACCAAGCCUUUUACCGGUGCGGGCCGUGAGAGCGGGAGCCCGGAGAUGGGCACUGAGACAAAGGCCCAGGCCCCACGGGGCGCAGCAGUCGCGAAAAUUUUGCAAUACACGAAAGUGUGACAGAGCUAUCCCGAGUGCCAUCCGCUGA